GGUGAUAGAGCUCAGCUGAUUAAAGCACAUAAUUCAUAAUCCUGGGAUCGAGGGUUUGAGUCCAUCUUUUACCA
rnacentral:tRNA from 1 species